UCCUACGGGAGGCAGCAGUGGGGAAUUUUCCGCAAUGGGCGAAAGCCUGACGGAGCAACGCCGCGUGAGGGAUGAAGGCCUCUGGGCUGUAAACCUCUUUUAUCAAGGAAGAAGAUCUGACGGUACUUGAUGAAUAAGCCACGGCUAAUUCCGUGCCAGCAGCCGCGGUAAUACGGGAGUGGCAAGCGUUAUCCGGAAUUAUUGGGCGUAAAGCGUCCGCAGGCGGUCUGUCAAGUCUGCUGUUAAAGCGUGGAGCUUAACUCCAUUUCGGCAGUGGAAACUGACAGACUAGAGUGUGGUAGGGGCAGAGGGAAUUCCCGGUGUAGCGGUGAAAUGCGUAGAUAUCGGGAAGAACACCAGUGGCGAAGGCGCUCUGCUGGGCCAUAACUGACGCUCAUGGACGAAAGCCAGGGGAGCGAAAGGGAUUAGAUACCCCUGUAGUCCUGGCCAUAAACGAUGAACACUAGGUGUCGGGGGAAUCGACCCCCUCGGUGUCGUAGCCAACGCGUUAAGUGUUCCGCCUGGGGAGUACGCGCGCAAGUGUGAAACUCAAAGGAAUUGACGGA
rnacentral:rRNA from 1 species